AUUAAUUUCUUGUGAUCAAAGAUUUAUCGGUUUGGGAGCGGCCUAUUUCCUAUCAGCUUGUUGGUGAGGUAAUGGCUCACCAAGGCAACGACGGGUAGCGGGACUGAGAGGUUGGCCCGCCACAUUGGGACUGAGACACUGCCCAGACCCCCACGGGGGGCUGCAGUAACGAAUAUUGCACAAUGGACGAAAGUCUGAUGCAGCAAUGCCGCGUGUAGGAUGAAGCCCCUCGGGGUGUAAACUACUGUCAGGGGUUAGAAAGUGCGCUUCGGCGUAUUGAUCAGCCCCAGAGGAAGCAACGGCUAACUUCGUGCCAGCAGCCGCGGUAAUACGAAGGUUGCAAGCGUUGUUCGGAAUCACUGGGCUUAAAGCGCACGUAGGCGGAAUUCCAAGUGUCUUGUGAAAUCCCUCGGCUUAACCGAGGAAUUGCUCGGCAAACUGGAAUUCUUGAGGCAAGUAGGGGUACAUGGAACUCUUAGUGGAGCGGUGGAAUGCGUAGAUAUUAAGAGGAACGCCAAUGGUGAAGACAGUGUACUGGACUUGUACUGACGCUGAGGUGCGAAAGCGUGGGGAGCGAACGGGAUUAGAUACCCCGGUAGUCCACGCCGUAAACGAUGUCUACUAGGUUGUGGGAGUUCUGACACUUUCACAGCCGAAGCAAAAGUGUUAAGUAGACCGCCUGGGGAGUACGGUCGCAAGGCUAAAACUCAAAGGAAUUGACGGGGGCUCACACAAGCGGUGGAGCAUGUGGAUUAAUUCGAAGCAACGCGCAGAACCUUACCUAGGUUUGACAUGUUUGGAUGCCUAUCUGGAAACAGAGUCGGCUGCCCUUCGGGGUGAAACUUACACAGGUGCUGCAUGGCUGUCGUCAGCUCGUGUCGUGAGAUGUCGGGUUAAGUCCUUUAACGAGCGAAACCCUUACCGUUAGUUGCCAGCGCGUCAUGGCGGGGACUCUAGCGGGACUGCCGGUGUUAAACCGGAGGAAGGCGGGGAUGACGUCAAGUCCUCAUGGCCUUUAUGCCUAGGGCUUCACACGUGCUACAAUGGUAACUACAGAGCGACGCAAGACCGUGAGGUGGAGCAAAUCGCAAAAAAGUUGCCUCAGUUCGGAUUGCAGGCUGUCAACUCGCCUGCAUGAAGUUGGAAUCGCUAGUAAUCGCGUAUCAGCUAUGACGCGGUGAAUGUGUUCCUGAGCCUUGU
rnacentral:rRNA from 1 species